GCUCCCGUAGCUCAGUUGGAUAGAGCGAGCGCCUCCUAAGCGCUAGGUCGCAGGUUCGAUUCCUGCCGGGAGCA
rnacentral:tRNA from 1 species